AACGAACGCUGGCGGCAUGCCUAACACAUGCAAGUCGAACGCGUGUAGCAAUACACGAGUGGCGGACGGGUGAGUAACGCGUGGGAACCUGCCCAAUGGAAGGGAAUAACUGCGGGAAACUGCAGCUAAUACCCUAUGCUCCCUACGGGGAAGGAAUUAUCGCCAUUGGUAGGGGCCCGGCCGUCGGAGUUAGCUAGUUGGGUCGGGGUAACGGGACCCGACCCAACGGACGUACG
rnacentral:rRNA from 1 species